AUGACCUACUGGCCCUCUGUUAAAAACCUCGUCCUCCCUUUCUUCUCACAAUUCCAUCAAGGCACAGCCGACACGGAACGAGUUAACAGAACUCAUAUUGUUCUGCUUCCCAAAAAAGACCAGCCUACUUCUCCUGACGCUUUCCGGCCCAUCUCACUUCAAAAUUGCCCAAUCAAAGCUGUUGCUAAAGUCCUGACCACUCGCCUCAAGCCAUUCAUCCCGCUACUAGUUCACGGCAAUCAGACGGGAUUUAUACCAGGUAGGAACAUAGCUGAGAACUACAUUUUCGCCACAGACCUCAUUAGCUCAUGCCACACUAGGAAAAAACCUACCAUGGUCUUCAAACUAGACUUCAGUAAAGCUUUUGACUCGGUUGCAUGGCCUGCCCUCGACAAAAUCCUUCUCGCCUGAGGCUUCUCGCCCACCUUCCGCAGCUGGAUCCAAAACAUCCUUGCCACAGGCAAAACCGCCAUUCUUCUGAAUGGUAUCCCAGGCAACUGGAUUGACUGCAAAAAUGGUCUGCGUCAGGGCGAUCCCAUCUCCCCCUAUCUCUUCCUGAUCGUAGCAGACCUGCUCCAACAGCUUAUCCUCAAAACACCCCACGCCUCGGUCCAUCACCCUAUCUUCUCUCAUCUACCACCCACCGUUCUACAGUACGCAGACGAUACUCUGAUCGUUGCCGCCGCCUUAGCUGAUGCCGCUGUCGCUUUAAAAGGAAUACUAGACCGCUUUGCCAAUGCCACUGGCUUAGCCAUAAACUUCUCCAAAAUGACGAUUGCCACUCUCCACUUGGACGACGCUGCAGCUAAUGACGCCGCCUUUGCCAUGGGUUGCUCUCGCGCCUCCUUCCCCCAAACCUACCUCGGGCUCCCUCUCUCCCCUACGAAACCUCCCUCCAAUGCCUUCGACCCCAUCCUAGAACGCUCCCGCAAACUGCUGUCUGGCUGGCGUGCUAAGUUACUUGACAAAGGUGACCACCUCAUUCUAAUCUCCGCAGUCCUUGACUCCCUCCUUACCUAUUUCAUGUCUGUCUUUCGCCUUCCCAAGAAACUCUUAAAAAAAUCGACUCCAUCCGUAGAGCCUUCUUCUGGGCAGGAGAAGAUUCAGUUUCAGGCGCUCAAUGCCUCGUUGCAUGGAAAAAUCUUUGCAUUCUAA
rnacentral:rRNA from 1 species